GGAACCUUUAAAUCCAGUCCAGUGAGGCUGGCAAGGGCACGGAAUGACAAGCAGGCAUAGCGCGAGCUGGCCUCUUUGUCCGACGGCUUCUUGUCUCCUGACAAGGAGCCUUUUUUCA
rfam:Brevibacillus sp. CF112 PMI08_contig_120.120, whole genome shotgun sequence.